rnacentral:rRNA from 1 species
UACGAAGGGUGCAAGCGUUAAUCGGAAUUACUGGGCGUAAAGGGUGCGUAGGCGGUUCGUUAAGUCUGUCGUGAAAUCCCCGGGCUCAACCUGGGAAUGGCGAUGGAUACUGGCGAGCUAGAGUGUGUCAGAGGAUGGUGGAAUUCCCGGUGUAGCGGUGAAAUGCGAGAGAUCGGGAGGAACAUCAGUGGCGAAGGCGGCCAUCUGGGACAACACUGACGCUGAAGCACGAAAGCGUGGGGAGCAAACAGG